AGAGGAAGGUGCGACGGACGGUGGAACAAUAACUCUUCACAAUUUGCAUUAGUUUCUUAUUUAAUUAUAGAAAAUUCAUUCGAAAAAAAAGAGAGGAAAUUUCAAGAUAAAAUAAAAAGGAAUAUUUUCAUCAUGAACAAAGUUUGGUUGAGUGUCCUUUGUUUUGCAAUUUCUUGACGUCAACCGCUCUUCUUUCUCAACUCUAAAAUUCUAAUCACAACCAAAUAAUCACUUCCCCUUUCCCAAUUUAGAUCAAUUACAGCUAUGGCAACCAGUGGAGACAAGAAUAUGACCGCUAAAUUGGUACACCGGAUGAGUUAAAGCUAUUAUAGAAGAUGUUCCAGCAGAGUUGGCAAGCUCCACUUGCUCCUGGAGUGCUGCCGAGUCAGAGUAUAUGUGCUAUGAUGUCUGGUUAAUGUUAGAGACUUUGCAGACAGAGUCGUGGGUAUAGAAUGUCAGUUCUGUAAGCGGCUCCAUCAGCCGAUGUGUCAUUUUGUGUUAUGAUAUAAAUUCCAUGUGAUUACAGAUUUUGUCUGAUUUGAGAACAAAGAAAAAGAAUAUUUCUGAAAAA